GAGUUUGAUCGUGGCUCAGGAUGAACGCUGGCGGCGUGCCUAAUACAUGCAAGUCGAGCGAACGGACGAGAAGCUUGCUUCUCUGAUGUUAGCGGCGGACGGGUGAGUAACACGUGGAUAACCUACCUAUAAGACUGGGAUAACUUCGGGAAACCGGAGCUAAUACCGGAUGAUAUUUUGAACCGCAUGGUUCAAAAAGUGAAAGACGGUCUUGCUGUCACUUAUAGAUGGAUCCGCGCUGCAUUAGCUAGUUGGUAAGGUAACGGCUUACCAAGGCAACGAUGCAUAGCCGACCUGAGAGGUGAUCGGCCACACUGGAACUGAGACACGGUCCAGACUCCUACGGGAGGCAGCAGUAGGGAAUCUUCCGCAAUGGGCGAAAAGCCUGACGGAGCAAACGCCGCGUGAGUGA
rnacentral:rRNA from 1 species